UACGUAGGGCGCAAGCGUUGUCCGGAAUUAUUGGGCGUAAAGAGCUCGUAGGCGGCUUGUCGCGUCGACUGUGAAAACCCGUGGCUCAACCAUGCGGUCUGCAGUCGAUACGGGCAGGCUAGAAUUCGGUAGGGGAGACUGGAAUUCCUGGUGUAGCGGUGAAAUGCGCAGAUAUCAGGAGGAACACCGGUGGUGAAGACGGUCUCCUGGGCCGAGAGCCGACGCUGAGGCGCGAGAGCGUGGGGAGCGAACCGG
rnacentral:rRNA from 1 species